rnacentral:tRNA from 1 species
GGGAAUGUAGCUCAGUGGCAGAGCACUUGGCUAGCAUGCAUGAGGCACUGAGUUCAAUCCUCAGCAUCA